rnacentral:rRNA from 1 species
UACGGAGGGGGCUAGCGUUGUCCGAAGUUACUGGGCGUAAAGCGCGCGUAGGCGGGUUGGUAAGUCCGCUGUGAAAGCCCGGAGCUCAACUCCGGAGGUCGGUGGAUACUGCCAGUCUUGAAGGUGCUAGGGGGAGAUGGAAUUACCGGUGUAGCGGUGAAAUGCGUAGAUAUCGGUAGGAACACCAGUGGCGAAGGCGGCUCCUGGGGCAUUCUUGACGCUGAGGCGCGAAAGCUGGGGGAGCGAACGGG